rnacentral:pre_miRNA from 1 species
UUGGUACUCCCUCCGUUCCAUAAUUCUUGUUGAAAUAUUAAAUGUAUCUAGACACAUUUUAUGAAUAGAUACAUCCAUAUUUGGGCAAAUUUGAGACAAGAAUUAUGGAAUGGAGGAAGUACAUU